UCCUACGGGAGGCAGCAGUGAGGAAUAUUGGUCAAUGGGAGGAAUCCUGAACCAGCCAUGCCGCGUGCAGGACGACGGCUCUACGAGUUGUAAACUGCUUUUGUACCGGGGUAAAAUGCCUUACGAGUAGGGUUUUGAAAGUACGGUACGAAUAAGGAUCGGCUAACUCCGUGCCAGCAGCCGCGGUAAUACGGAGGAUGCGAGCGUUAUCCGGAUUUAUUGGGUUUAAAGGGUGCGUAGGCGGGCUGUUAAGUCAGCGGUAAAAGCCCGGGGCUCAACCCCGGCGAGCCGUUGAAACUGGCUGU
rnacentral:rRNA from 1 species